GAUGAACGCUGGCGGCGUGCCUAAUACAUGCAAGUCGAGCGAACAGACGAGGAGCUUGCUCCUCUGACGUUAGCGGCGGACGGGUGAGUAACACGUGGAUAACCUACCUAUAAGACUGGGAUAACUUCGGGAAACCGGAGCUAAUACCGGAUAAUAUAUUGAACCGCAUGGUUCAAUAGUGAAAGACGGUUUUGCUGUCACUUAUAGAUGGAUCCGCGCCGCAUUAGCUAGUUGGUAAGGUAACGGCUUACCAAGGCAACCAUGCGUAGCCGACCUGAUGGGGGGGUCGGCCGCACUGGAAGGGAGACGCGGUCCAGGCGCCUACGGGAGGCAGCAGUAGGGAAUCUGACGCAAUGGGCGGAAGCCUGACGGAGCAGCGGGGCGUGAGUGAUGGAGGUGUUCGGAGCGUAAAACUCUGUUAUUAGGGAAGAACAAAUGUGGAAGUAACUAUGCAGGUCUUGACGGUACCUGGUCAGAAAGCCACGGCUAACUACGUG
rnacentral:rRNA from 1 species